rnacentral:rRNA from 1 species
ACGGGAGGCAGCAGUGGGGAAUAUUGGGCAAUGGGCGCAAGCCUGACCCAGCAACGCCGCGUGAAGGAUGAAGGUCUUCGGAUUGUAAACUUCUUUGAUCAGGGACGAAUUUUGACGGUACCUGAAGAACAAGUCACGGCUAACUACGUGCCAGCAGCCGCGGUAAUACGUAGGUGACAAGCGUUAUCCGGAUUUACUGGGUGUAAAGGGCGUGUAGGCGGUUUGGCAAGUCAGAAGUGAAAUUCCCGAGCUCAACUUGGGCGCUGCUUCUGAAACUACAGAACUUGAGUACUGGAGGGGAAAGCGGAAUUCCUAGUGUAGCGGUAAAAUGCGCAGAUAUUAGGAGGAACACCGGUGGCGAAGGCGGCUUUCUGGACAGUAACUGACGCUGAGGCGCGAAAGCGUGGGGAGCAAACAGGAUUAGAUACCCUGGUA